CGACAUGGCGGCGGGAGGGUGUCCCCCGGCAGGACGGAGCUCAUCUGGCCGGGCUGGUGUUCCGGGGGCAAAGGGACCCUUGUGGGCCUGAGAGUGCCAGAAUAAUGGUUCUGACUGAAAGGCCCCAAAGCGCGGACAGUGUGCGAACGUUUCUGUGUAUUUUACAGAUCAGAGCACGGGGAAAACUCGGAGUGAUGCUCGGAGUGGGUGGAGUGCAGUCCACAGAGGUCGUCCCUCAUCCCCCGUGGAUUCUGCUCUGCCUCUCUCCGGCUGCGGAACCCUCGUGCUGUGGUGCCGAGCAGUAAGCCCAGCCCGUGAAGAUGCUGAAAAUGAGUUUGUAACCCGGGGGUUGUUCUGGAGGGAAUUGCAACACCAUUGUGUCAGAAAAGAGGAUGCGGGGGCGUGUCAAAGCGUGUAUUUUACAGUCCAUAAAAAGUAGAAGGAAGGCUUAUUAGUGUUAAAUUGUUACUAAAUGAACAGACCAAAGGCUGAACGUUAACAUGAAGGGAAAGUUUCUCACUGCUGAGAAGCAGAAAUUCAUUACUCCUGGACCCUCAUUGUUACAUUCACAAAGCUCAUCGUCGGCCGCAGGGCUGUAGAUACCUGUGUAAAAUAAAAGAAGGCCAGGUGCUCGAUGGCAACGCUGAUGACUUCCUCCUCAUCCUCUCUGCAUGUUGAGUUGUUGUCUUUAAUGCAUCACUUCAUUCACUUGUGAAUCUCAGUGGAUAAAGCUGGGACUGCAGUGUGGCCGAUCAAUGAAACACCAGCAACAAGGUUUUGCUCUGAGAGAGGGUGGUCAAUAGUAGUGGCACAUUUUAAGCUUGCCCCUCAGCUCUCUCCAGGUGAUAAUGUCUUGCCAGCCCAAUGGGCUGAAGGUAGGCUUUCUUUCUCCUUUUUUUUUCCCCCAUCAUUUUUUAGCUGUUUUUCUCCCCUAUCAUAAAUUCUAGAAACAGAUCAGCUUUCCAUCUUCCUCUCAAAAAUCUGUAGAAAAGCAAGACAGUAAAUAAGUAAAUGGCAAUGAAACAUACUGGCCAUGAAAGAUUUGGCAUAAUUCAGUUGGAGGAAAAGGAGGAAAGUUAAUGGUUGGCAGCAACUAAUUACUAAUUACUAACAGUAAUCUCUCCAGCAUUUCAAACUUUUUUCCAGAUUAACUGAAGACAUUUUCUGGUUUUGUUGAAGUGAAAGACAAUAUUUCCAUUGGCAACAGUUGGGGCAGUUUUAAUCCUUUA